CACUCAUUUCUCUCUCCCCUUACCUGAAACUCAGCGAAGGGACAAAACCCCAAAGAAGCUGAUGAUCGAGAGCGAAGCAGAAACCCAGAGAUAUCCAGGUUUCGCAGCAUAACCCUGGCAUGGUGUUGCAUUGAACUUGUUUCUUUUCUGGAUUUUCAAAUUCGGGUGGACUGAUGCAUAUUGCUGGAAUGUGUGGUUAUUUGCAUGUUUGGAAUGUUUAAUGGUGUUAUGGUCUAGUGAGGCAUUUUGGCAACUUUGACAUUACUUGGACAUGAAGUAUCUUGGAAAGGUGAUGAAGUGAAGAAGAACUGACUUGAAGGUGCUGAAGAUAUAUAGGUCUUAGGAAGUCAAACUAGGUUGGUCAAAAUUGAUGGUCAACAGUUGACCAAACGUCAAAUGUUGUAAAUUUUGACUUUUCCUUGUAGUUUUUUUUUUAUAAUUUCUUUCAGUGAUACGUUGUAACUUGUGAUUGAGCCUUUGUAAGAAUCUUGUCUUUUGUAACUUGUUUCUCAAGAAAUAAAGAUGCUUUCUAUUUUUC